CCAAAUCACCUCACUGUCUCUCAAGAGACAGGAUCUCACUUUGUUGCCCAGGCUGGGUCUCAAAUUCCUGGCCUCAAAAGACCCUCUUGCCUUGGCCUCCCAAAGUGCUGGGAUUACAGUCAUGAGCCAACACGCCCAGCCGGUCUCACUCUGUCACCCAGGCUGGAGUACAGUGGUGCAAUCAUAGCUUACUGCAGCCUUGACCUCCUAGGCUCAAGCGAUCCUCCUGCCUCAGCUCCUGAGCAGCUGGAACUACAGACUCAGUCUGCCUGCA
rnacentral:lncRNA from 1 species